rnacentral:rRNA from 1 species
CCUACGGGGGGCAGCAGUGAGGAAUAUUGGUCAAUGGGCGCGAGCCUGAACCAGCCAAGUAGCGUGAAGGAUGACUGCCCUACGGGUUGUAAACUUCUUUUAUAAAGGAAUAAAGUGAGGCACGUGUGCCUUUUUGUAUGUACUUUAUGAAUAAGGAUCGGCUAACUCCGUGCCAGCAGCCGCGGUAAUACGGAGGAUCCGAGCGUUAUCCGGAUUUAUUGGGUUUAAAGGGAGCGUAGAUGGGUUGGUAAGUCAGUUGUGAAAGUUUGCGGCUCAACCGUAAAAUUGCAAUUGAUACUGGCAGCCUUGAGUACAGUUGAGGUAGGCGGAAUUCGUGGUGUAGCGGUGAAAUGCGUAGAUAUCACGAAGAACUCCGAUUGCGAAGGCAGCUUACUAAACUGCCACUGACAUUGAUGCACGAAAGCGUGGGGAGCAAAUAGGAUUAGAUACCCCAGUAGUC